UGAGUGCUCUUCCAUGCAAAACCAGGUUUUUUAAUGGUUUAGAAACUCAAGCACGCGAGCUGUACUACUAUAAACAUCAGGAUUCAGCGGCAUGUUUAUGCAGGUGUCUCACCAUGUGCAAGAGAGGCCCAGUAGUGGUCUAUCGACUUCCAUUCAGCAGGCUCUAUCACUGUUGUACCAUCAGUAACACACUAUGCCGAGAGGGAAUCAAAUCCUGCAGUGCCAGGCGUGUCCCCCUGCAUAAGCCAGUACAUGUCCAGGCCGGUCUAAAGUUUGCCAGAGAGCAUAUGGAUGAUCCAGAAGAGGACUGGGAGAAUAUCAUGUGGUCAGAUGAAACCAAAUUAGAACUUUUUGGUAAAAACUCAACUCGUCGUGUUUGGAGGAAGAAGAAUGCAGAGUUGCAUCCCAAGAACACACUCAGUUUUACCUUUUGUGUAGUUACUGCAGUUAGACUUUGUAGGGCACUAUAGCUGACCAUGUGACUCCCUGAGAGGAAAUGCCCACUGGGGAGAACUACAUAUGUUCAACGGCUCUUUUUCUGUGUGUUCACACUACCAGUAGGGACACUGAAGUGGCAUAUGUUGGCCAGCUUUUUACUUUGACAAGUCGAAUCGUGUCUUUGUCCCCUGUCACAUAUAUGAUAAGUGAAGCCUGGAUUUCAUGGUUGGUUAUCUGUUGUUUACAUGGCUAACGCUGCCAGAGCUGCAUUGGCUGUGUUCAUUGGCCUGACUGAGCAUAUAUGCAAUGAGGGAAAUAAUCAUGAUUUUGACCACAAGGGGGGUUCUGAGAACUAUAAAAAGGUAAUCCCCCUAAUGGUAUUUUGCAUGUUUGAGGGCUUUUCCAUUUCAGUUUAUUAUUUAUUCUGGUUGCACAGCCAAGAGUGUGUUCUUUUUGCUAAUUUAAAUGAUACACAUUUAGAUAAGUGCAAUUAUGUGCAAUUGCUGUAUGCAAGAUCCACUGUGGUUACUUUGAUUAAAUCUUGCUCAACAUCCAUCAAGCUUGAAUCAUAACUGCCAUUGUGUUUAUGCUGCUGUAUUUUGGCAUGUGGCUCUGCAUAAUUAUACUAAACAAUAUGAUUUAAUCUGAGGAGAAGCUGCUCUGUACGCUCUUCUCUGUUACCAAACGGUCACCAUGCCAUGGUGGUGGGAACACUGCUUUCUAGGCGGAUGAGAAGACCCCAUGGAAAUGUCAGUGAUUAUUACCAGCCGCUAA